rnacentral:lncRNA from 1 species
UUAUAUUCCCAAUCCAAAGUUAUCAACAAACUAUGAAAAUGACUCGUUUUAUGUCUACUGAUAAAUUAACUCUUAUCUCCAUUGUUCUUGUGGUGCUCAUUGGACUAGCUUAUUGUGGCGAUGAAAAGGAUGGAACAGGUUCAGGAACUCGUGCACCUAGAAGAAAACGGUUCACUCGUUCACAUGACCUAAUUUCACUUCAUGAGGAGGCAAUCAAGGAACACGAACACCAUAUUGGUACUACAAAGAAGAGCGAUCGUGGUAAACGAAGAAGUGAACCAAUGACCACUGUUCAUCCACAUGAAGGCAUGGACCACGGUGGACAUUCAACUCAUCGUCCAAUAAUAUUAAACUAAUAUUUUUCUUGACACACUAAGCAUGGCUAUGGUUAGAUCAUGAUUGCUUAGUUAAACUAACAUUUGAAUUCCUUCCUCCUCCAGCUACCCAGAAGUUUAAUAUAAAAUUAUAUUAAUAUUACAUUAAUCAACAGUCAAUAAA